AUAUACGGUUCAUGCAUAACACGAGAAUUUUUAAGAGUCUGCCACCAAUGAAUAGAUUUCGAAAUUUCAUACUUUUUGGUUGUGUCAAUAGUUGCUGAUCGAGAGUACAUACAAAUAUACAAAGUUUAAAAACGGUACGACUUCGUACAAGGUAAUUUUAACAAAAUUAAAUUUUCAAGUGAUAUUGAUUUCGAUGUUUAAUGAACCAACAUUUAAUACGAAUUUUAUCAGUUAUUAUUUACUUCCCUAAUUCCCUGUU